ACUCAUUCUGUUGUAAAGAAAUCCACAUUUUUAGGUAUUACACAAUUUAGAAUUGUACACUAAGUUUGGCAUUCUAUACAGUAUGACUAAACCUUCAAGGGUUUCUAUCAUGGUAUUGUGCACAUCAAAUAUGACUUUAUACAUUUGAUUAUGAAGUGACAAGGUGUUUCAUAUCUUGACUAUUGAAGUAGAGGUAGCUUGUUUCGCCAGAGUCUGUAGCUGUAGCCAAUGGAGAAAAACCAGCAUAGUUCUUUUCUGACUUUGAUAAGCAUAUUUUGGCAACAUAAUUGAAGAGCUCUUGUUUUUGGUUAAAAGGUUGGGCCGCAUAGUCCUCAAUUGGCA